GCAUAUCAAUAAGCGGAGGAAAAGAAACCAACAGGGAUUGCCUUAGUAACGGCGAGUGAAGCGGCAACAGCUCAAAUUUGAAAUCUGGCUCUUUUAGGGUCCCGAGUUGUAAUUUGCAGAGGGCGCUUUGGCUUUGGCAGCGGUCCAAGUUCCUUGGAACAGGACGUCACAGAGGGUGAGAAUCCCGUACGUGGUCGCUAGCUAUUGCCGUGUAAAGCCCCUUCGACGAGUCGAGUUGUUUGGGAAUGCAGCUCUAAAUGGGAGGUAAAUUUCUUCUAAAGCUAAAUAUUGGCCAGAGACCGAUAGCGCACAAGUAGAGUGAUCGAAAGAUGAAAAGCACUUUGGAAAGAGAGUCAAACAGCACGUGAAAUUGUUGAAAGGGAAGCGCUUGCAGCCAGACUUGCUUGCAGUUGCUCAUCCGGGCUUUUGCCCGGUGCACUCUUCUGCAGGCAGGCCAGCAUCAGUUUGGGCGGUGGGAUAAAGGUCUCUGACACGUUCCUUCCUUCGGGUUGGCCAUAUAGGGGAGACGUCAUACCACCAGCCUGGACUGAGGUCCGCGCAUCUGCUAGGAUGCUGGCGUAAUGGCUGUAAGCGGCCCGUCUUGAAACACGGACCAAGGAGUCUAACAUCUAUGCGAGUGUUUGGGUGUCAAGCCCGAGCGCGUAAUGAAAGUGAACGGAGGUGGGAACCCGCAAGGGUGCACCAUCGACCGAUCCUGAAGUUUACGGAAGGAUUUGAGUAAGAGCAUGGCUGUUGGGACCCGAAAGAUGGUGAACUAUGCUUGAAUAGGGUGAAGCCAGAGGAAACUCUGGUGGAGGCUCGCAGCGGUUCUGACGUGCAAAUCGAUCGUCAAAUUUGGGCAUAGGGGCGAAAGACUAAUCGAACUAUCUAGUAGCUGGUUCCUGCCGAAGU
rnacentral:rRNA from 1 species